GUCCUGAGGGCAUGAGCCUCGCCCAAGCCCUGUGUCUUUUUCCCUUCACAGGAUUUUACAUUACCAAGCCAGAAGUGGUCUUCAAGUUGGAGCAAGGAGAGAAGCCGUGGGUAUUAGAAGAAUCCUCAGCUACCAGAGCCACCCAGACUCGGACAGAUGGCACCCAGACGUGGGGCCGGAUGCAGAGGAUUCAUCAAGACAUGGCAGCGUAGGAUCUUCCACCUCUGGAUCAGGAAUGAGGAAAGCUGAAAAGCCUUUUUUAAGGUAAGGAGUGUCAAAAUUAAUUAACCUGGGUAGAUUGCUGCUUC
rnacentral:lncRNA from 1 species